ensembl:snRNA U4 U4 spliceosomal RNA
AGCUUUGUGCAGUGGCAGUAUCAUAGCCAAUGAGGUUUAUCCGAGGCGUGAUUAUUGCUAAUUGAAAAAUUGAGGAAUAGUU